UUUCCGUAGGUGAACCUGCGGAAGGAUCAUUAUUGUAUAACCGAGGUGCGAGGGCUGUCGCUGACCCGACAGGUCGUGCACGCCCGAGUGCCCUCACACACAUCCAUCUCACCCCUAUGUGCACCACCGCUUGGGUCCCCCUUUGGCUUGUUCGGAGGGGGGCUUACGUUUUCACACAAACUUUGUAUGCAGUGUAGAAUGUAUUUUUUGUUUUUGCGAUCACGCAAUCAAUACGACUUUCAACAACGGAUCUCUUGGCUCUC
rnacentral:misc_RNA from 1 species